AGAUUCAACCAAAUGUCACACAGACUAUCAAAGUUUCUCUCUCUAAAUACGAUUUUUCGUCUCUUUUGAUUCCCAUCUGUUAGUCGCUGUUCACCGACUCCGGUUGCUCACACAGAGCCGGAGUCGGAGUUGCAUCUCUAAAAUUUCUGUUUUAUACUCUUUUUGUGUAGAUCAUCAAUUUCUCAUUUUCUCUCAUAAUGAUUUUCUAGAUCUAGGUCUAGUUUUGAUCUGUUUGGAGGUUUGGAUUUUGAUGAUCUCUUUGGGUUUUAAUCGGAUUGGGGCGCAUGCAGUAGAUCGGUGGUUCCAUUUUGGGGUCUCCCUUCUUUAACAGUGUGCUGAUUGCUCUAUAAUUUGGUCUUGGUCUCGAGUUUGCAGAAGCUUCUCUUUCGUAGAUCCUGGUUUGUCUGCUCCGGUCGAUCUUCCUCUCUCCUCAAUCGUUUGUGGCUGGAGGUAACUGGUGUGGUCUGUGUUUGCUCUGUCAUCUCUCAACAUCGAGAUCUGGGCACAUCUUUAGUGGUUUGGCCAAGAUUUGGCGUCCACUCUUUAUUUCUUUCAGCAAUCAUUUGAUGAAGUCUGCUUUCUUAAAGUCUGAUUCUAUAUUAAUUUUGAUAUUGACCUA